CCCUUAGAUGUUCUGGGCAGCACGCGCGCUACAAUGGUCUUCGCAAACGGAUGCAUUCUCGAAGGAGAAUGCCAAUCUUGGAAUCUAUGCCUUGGUCGGGACAGUUGCUUGCAAUUUUUCGACUCGAACCAGGAAUUCCUUGUAAUCGUGAUUCAUCACAUCACGAUGAAUACGUCCCUGCCCUUUGUACACACCGCCCGUCGCUCCUACCGAUCGAAGAGUUAGGUGAAUUGUUUUGAUCGAUAAGAUUUGACUAUGGUCAACUCUCGUUGUGAAAUUCUGUGAAUCUGACUGUUAGAGGAAGGAAAAGUCGUAACA
rnacentral:rRNA from 1 species